rnacentral:rRNA from 1 species
UACGUAUGGUGCAAGCGUUGUUCGGAAUCAUUGGGCGUAAAGGGUGUGUAGGCGGACUAACAAGUCAGGUGUGAAAUCUUCGGGCUCAACUCGAAACCUGCAUUUGAAACUGUUAGUCUGGAAUCUGGGAGAGGCAAGUGGAAUUUCUGGUGUAGCGGUGAAAUGCGUAGAUAUCAGAAGGAACACCGAUGGCGAAGGCAACUUGCUGGCCUAAGAUUGACGCUGAAACACGAAAGCGUGGGUAGUGAACGGGAUUAGAUACCCGGGUAGU